CAACGAUAAUUUUUAAAUUGUAGAUGUUCAGAAGAUGGAAUAUUGCCUGAAUAAAAAACAUUGUCCUGAUGCUUGGAAAAGGUAUCCUGUCAUAGAUACAGGAGAAAGAGAUUAUAAUUUCUGUCCGCGAUUAAGAAUGCUUAGAACUUGUGCAAGAAAGAACGGACUAUCGUAUUGUGAGAUUGCGAUGAACAUCGAAGCCAUGAAUUUUUAUGAGUGUUUUCCUAAUGAUAACAACACUAAAACGUCAAGGAUCCUUUCAGUCCACGUUAAGGUUUCACACUGUGUCUUACUAAUACUUAUUCUGUGGAUAUUUUUGUGAUGGAGGAAUUAAAUAUCAAAUGAAAAGAAUAUAUUUGAUUUAAUAUUCCAGUCAGCGCUUAGUACUGAAGCUGUGAUAAUUACAAAUGUGCGAAAUACAAAUGUAUGUAAAUAAAAUUAUAACAAAUA